rnacentral:rRNA from 1 species
UACAGAGGGUGCAAGCGUUGUUCGGAAUUAUUGGGCGUAAAGGGCGUGUAGGCGGUCUGCUAAGUCAUGUGUGAAAUCCCUCGGCUUAACCGAGGAACGACGCAUGAAACUGGCAAGCUAGAGUACCAAAGAGGGGGGUGGAAUUCCCGGUGUAACGGUGAAAUGCGUAGAUAUCGGGAGGAACACCGGUGGCGAAGGCGGCCCCCUGGUUGGAUACUGACGCUGAGACGCGAAAGCGUGGGGAGCAAACAGG